rnacentral:rRNA from 1 species
AAACGCUUAAAGUCAGUCUUGUUUGCUAGGAUUCAGCCCCUUCCUGGGUGUACUUUCUAGUAAACAGGCCAACAUCACUUUUGGUCAUUGGAAAAGGGUAGUGGGAAUGUGGCACCCUUUCGGGGGUGUGUUAUAGCCUGCUAUCAUAUACAGUGACUGGGAGUGAGGACUGCCAUUGUAGGAUGUUGGCAUAAUGGCUUUAAACGA